ACUAAGGAUAUACUAUGGAGCAAUUAUGGAAUGUUUUCAUAUAGUAUAUUUCUCUAUAAGGGCGUUGUAUGUGUGUGUGCAUAUGGCUCCCCCCCCCCUUUGUUUAUUUGGUCACCUUGGAUCUGACCGAUCCAAGGUAAUGGACUGAUUUAUUUUUUGUUCAAAACGUAAGGAAAACAGCCAAACUCUCACAUGUAGGAAGACGUUUCACAGCUUCUUAUUCUGCUCUGUUAAAUUGAUGUACUUCCCAAGAACUGUAGGCACUUCAAGCUUCAAAAAGGAACCAAGAGAAAAGGGAUCAACAUUAGCUGUUGUGAUGGAAUCUUCAAGUAGACAUACUACUAGUUGUAUUAGAAGAGGUAGGAAGACUGCUCGUGAGCAAGACUCUGAUGAGGAGCAACAAAGGAAGAGAAUCUGGGAAAUACUUAUGGAGCCCUCUGAUGAUGAUACCUUUGAGGGUUUUGAAGGGGAUUGUGGGACUGGGAGUCAGGAGGAUGGGAUGUCAGACUCUGGGAGUGAGAUGAUGGAUUGGACUAAGGUCCAGGAGAUCCGGGAGAUUCUUGAGGAGCCCACAAGCAAUGAUACAUUUGAGGGAUGGCACGGAGAAGAUACAGAUGGAUCCUGGGGAGUUAUGGGUUUGGAUAGAAGGUGGUCUGGCUGGAGAGAUCAUAGAAGGGCUGCAGCUGGAGGUGGGGCAUUGGGUGACUCCAGCUCUGAUGAGGAUUUGCAGCAACCAGCUGUGGAUGGGGCGUUGGCUGGCUCAAGUUCAGAGGAGGACUUGUAGAUAAAAGUAAGUUUGUUGCUAAUGUAACUUUGCAAUCGGCAAGGUGUUUUGUUGGGCUCUUUUAGGGAUCUCUGUUUCAGAAGAUGUGUUUGGAAGACUGCUUUGGGAUGUAAGUGUUAACCCAGGUUUUUAGUGGCAACGUGGGCUGGCAUUGUGUGGGUUUGCGCUGGAUUGUUUUGUGUUGGUUUUAUGCAUUAGCUGCCGGCUUGCCUCUGUCGCUUUGGCUUUUUGUGUUUACCUUGGACUGGAAUUCGGUGACUGUGACUUCUUCCUGACAACCUGGGCUGGAAUUCGGUGACUGUGACUUCUCCUUGAUGACUUGGACUGGAACUCGACGCCUGUGACUUCUCCCUAAUGAUGCAGACCGGACGUGGCAGCUGUGACUUCUCCUUUACAACAUGGUUUUGCUUUAGCAACAUUUUGGGGCAUUAUGUGGCUGUUGGUCACUGUGGGUUACUACUGGUAGCUUUCAUGUGUUUGUUUAGCUCCAACCAGCAGGUGGAGCGAGUUUCCAGCCUUUUCAACUAAGUUUGUUUUAAUCUGGAUUACUUCCCAGGAUAAUCCAGAUUAUAUCCCAAGUUUGGGUCUUUUGAGUUCUUUUUGGACAUUGUUACCUCACACUGAAGAGAAAGUGUUUUGAGCCUCCUUUUGGUUGUUUCUUAGGCUCUUUUGUGUUGUUUUUGCAAUAAACUGAGUUGUUUAUAUUGG